GAUACCUGGGCAGGCCAUCUGUCAGGAUGUUCACGGGGGACUUGGAGCACCGUAGUCCCCCACCCCAGCAGACAUGGUCCUGGCACUUUUCCAUCUUCCUUGGAGAAAGCAUCAAAAUCAAGCCCUCAGCGUAACUCCUGGCCCCCAGGAGCAGCAAAGCAGGUGUCAGCAGCUCUUGCUGAGGAGAGGAGGCUGUUGGCAGCUGGGACACGAGUCAUCCAAGGAAAUGUAUCACCCGCCUCCAGUGAAAACCAUCCCAAAAGAACUGCAAGAGAUACUAGCAGUCUUACAACUCUGGCUUUCCCAGACGACAUACAGGGACCGAGGUCCUCAGUCUAUCAACUUUGUGCAUUCAGGGAGGUCAGGGGAACACUUUUUAAAAAAAAAAUAAGACCGGGGAAAUGACCUGAAGGUCAUUUUUCCCUGAAGCCUCCCGAGGAACAUCAAGAUUUUCAUGAGAGAAGUAGAGGCAUCUUGGCUCCCUACCACGAGGGCUGUGGUUUGGGUGCUCAUUGCAGGGUGUGGGGAACCUCACUUCAAUGCUGUGUUCUGGACCAGACUGAUCAGGCUCAAUGUUACCCAACAGGUAAGUGUCCAAAUCAGUUGGUUUGGGGUGAAAAUUCCAUCCUCUGCUGAUAAACAGCAUUGCUCAAACUAAUGAAUUUCUCCAAAAACAAAACAAACAAACAAAAACUUGAUUUCAACCAACUGGCAUUUUAUCAAGGAAUCCCCGACCUGCUUGGAUUUUUUCCACUUGAAAGCAUGUGCCAAAAGCUGGAAUAGCUCCUCAUCUGAACAAUAAUAUUGCAAAAGCUGUACAAAGCAAGGCCUGAGCCAAUGGACUGAAUAAAAUAGAUAGGCUCUAUUAAAAUAGAUGUAUUUCUUUGUAGCACGUUUUGGAAUAAGUCUACAAGAACAGAAACAGAGGCUUGAGCAUGCCAAUGUGUCAGAGCGGUGGCUUUCCACACAAGAAGACAACCCUACAUUCUGGGAUUUAGAAUGACUUCGAAACAUAUCUUCCUGACAUUUGUUCAUUGGCUAAUUUAUUGCUCUGAAGUGUCAGCCUGACUUCUUGCCAUUAGUAACAGCAUCAUCAAUAUCUGGGCAUUCACAUCAUCUGUGUGGCUGGUGCAUCUACUCUUGAAGUGCCUUCCUGCUUAGUACUGAAUAUAAAGAGCUGUGUCUAACACAGAGGGAAACCAUUAAAAACUAUUGGUAGAAAGCAAAAAAAA